GAUGAACGCUGGCGGCGUGCCUAAUACAUGCAAGUCGAGCGAACAGACGAGGAGCUUGCUCCUUUGACGUUAGCGGCGGACGGGUGAGUAACACGUAGGUAACCUACCUAUAAGACUGGGAUAACUUCGGGAAACCGGAGCUAAUACCGGAUAAUAUUUCGAACCGCAUGGUUCGAUAGUGAAAGAUGGCUUUGCUAUCACUUAUAGAUGGACCUGCGCCGUAUUAGCUAGUUGGUAAGGUAACGGCUUACCAAGGCAACGAUACGUAGCCGACCUGAGAGGGGGAUCGGCCAAAUGGGAAAGGAGACAGGGCCCAGAACCCAAGGGGGGGCAGCAGUAGGGAAUCUUCCGAAAGGGGAGAAAGCCUGACGGAGAAACGCCGGGUGAGUGAUGAAGGUUUGCGGAUCGUAAAACUCUUUUAUGAGGGAAAAAAAAACGGGAAAGUAACUGGGCAGGUCUGGACGGUACCAAAGCAGAAAGCCACGGUUAACUACGG
rnacentral:rRNA from 1 species